UAUAAAGAUAAGAUAAGGAGAAUUGGCUGAAUGAUUGAAGAAAAUUGAAAUUAAAUUGUAUUGAUUUCUCACACAGUAAGCUAUACAGAGGUAUGUGUGUGUGUGUGUGUGUGUGUGUGUGUGUGUGUAUAUCAAAGACUAUUCUAG
rnacentral:sRNA from 1 species